AUUUCUUCAUUGAUGAUAGGAAAUUUUAAUUUUAAUUUAUUGUUCUUUUGAACGCCAUUGCGCGUCGUGUUUACCGUCGAGCAGACGACACUGUUGACCACGUGAAAGUUGUGUUCCUUUAUUUAUCAAAGAAAAAUGGGUCGAAAAAUUCCCGGAAAGAAGCACCGAGGUGUGAAAGAUCCUUUUAAACAGCAGGCAAAGCGAAAAGCAGAGUUAGAAACGAAGAUAAAUGCACCGCCAAAAGAUGUGGACGAUCAAGCUAUACCGAAGAGUUUAGAAAAAAUAGUGAAAUUGAAAGAAGCAGUGAAAUCAGGGAAGAUAACUAAAGUAAAGAACAAGAAAAAGAACAGAAAGAAUGCUCUUAUAUCUGUUGGCGAGCAGAAUUCUAAACCGCUCCAUCCGAAAGCUAAACCGGAUAAGGUUGUUCCUAUAUUUCGACAGAAAGCUGGAGAAAGCAAAGAGCAAUUUUUGCAUAGAGUUGACAGGGAUACUCAUGCUUUUCUCAAGGAAACUCAAUUUGAAAAGAAGUAUGGUGUCCUAGUAAAUAGGAAUCCAAAAACAGGGAACAUCGAAGGAGUUACAAAGUGUAGCAAAGAUGAAUUGGACAACAUUAAAAAGUUGAAAGUAAAAGAUAAAGAUAUCAAGAAAAAGAAGAAGAAGAAAGCUGUUGAUAAGCCUAAAAUGACAAAGGCUCAGAAAAGGAAGGAAAAAUUGAAAUUGAAAAAAGAAAAACUGAAGGAGGAUGAAGUUGAUGAGUUUGAAAGUUUGAAGGAUGAAGUUGAAUUUGGGGAAAUUGUUCAUGAACCACCACAAAUAAAAGUUAGACCAAAAAAGGCUGACUCUUCAAGUGCUGCCAAGCCUGGCAAGAAAGAUCUCUUGUUACAUUCAGUUCUAAAGAAGAGUAAAGCACCCAAAAUGAAUACUAAGAAAGUUUCUAUAGACAAAUCAGGCAAACGUAAAAAUUUGCCAAUUGGAGAAAGAAGGCAACUGGAAAAGCAGCAAAGCGAUAUUAUAGCAACAUACAGAAAGUUAAAACUACAAAAGUCUGCUGGUUUUGACACCUAGGAUCGGACCUUAAAGAGAGUACAAACGUAAACGAGAGUGGUGAAGAUGAGAGAGAUCCAUCUACUAACAGAGUGUGGAAAUUAACCGAGUGUUGAAGUGAGAGCCGCAUUAACAGCCUGUUAUUAACGUCAUGUAACGAACACCGCGAAAGUAAUCAUGGAGAAGGCCUGCAGCUUACGUUGGAGUAAUCCGAGAGCCACCAAGGGCGGUGAAUCGGUGAAAUCGAAAGGCUGACAGUGUCGAGAAACCCCGAAACAACCCCCGAAAAAUUGGAAACAAUCGGUGAAUCAGUGAUUCGAAUCGAAGAGACUUUGUUCGCGAUUCGCGAGCGACAUUCCAAAAUUCCGCGUCGUUUCGCGAGCGAGAGGAACUCUGGACGAGAGGA